UACUCCAUAAAGUCAAUUUAAGUGCAUCUUUUAUUGAUUAAAGCUCCGGCGGUUAGAGAUGGGCAUGCGUGUCAUUAGCUAGUUGGUGAGGUAACGGCUCACCAAGGCCACGAUGACUAGGGGGUCUGAGAGGAUGAUCCCCCACACUGGUACUGAGACACGGACCAGACUCCUACGGGAGGCAGCAGUGAGGAAUAUUGGGCAAUGGACGCAAGUCUGACCCAGCCAUGCCGCGUGCAGGAUGACUGCCCUAUGGGUUGUAAACUGCUUUUGUUUGGGAAGAAACCCCCGAUCGUGAUCGGGGCUGACGGUACCAUACGAAUAAGCAUCGGCUAACUCCGUGCCAGCAGCCGCGGUAAUACGGAGGAUGCAAGCGUUAUCCGGAUUCAUUGGGUUUAAAGGGUGCGCAGGCGGAAUAUUAAGUCAGUGGUGAAAUCCUGCAGCUUAACUGUAGAACUGCCAUUGAUACUGAUAUUCUUGAAUAUAGUUGAGGUGGGCGGAAUGUGUAAUGUAGCGGUGAAAUGCUUAGAUAUUACACAGAACACCAAUUGCGAAGGCAGCUCACUAAACUAAUAUUGACGCUGAGGCACGAAAGCGUGGGUAGCAAACAGGAUUAGAUACCCUGGUAGUCCACGCUGUAAACUAUGAUCACUCGCUGUUGGCAAUACAUCGUCAGCGGCUGAGCGAAAGCAUUAAGUGAUCCACCUGGGGAGUACGGUCGCAAGAUUGAAACUCAAAGGAAUUGACGGGGGCCCGCACAAGCGGAGGAACAUGUGGUUUAAUUCGAUGAUACGCGAGGAACCUUACCUGGGCUUAAAUGCAGAGCGACGUCCGCCGAAAGGUGGAUUCCUUCGGGCGAUCUGCAAGGUGCUGCAUGGUUGUCGUCAGCUCGUGCCGUGAGGUGUCGGGUUAAGUCCCAUAACGAGCGCAACCCUUAUCGUUAGUUGCCAGCGGGUAAUGCCGGGGACUCUAACGAAACUGCCGGUGUAAACCGUGAGGAAGGUGGGGAUGACGUCAAAUCAGCACGGCCCUUAUGUCCAGGGCUACACACGUGUUACAAUGGUCGGUACAGAGGGCAGCUACC
rnacentral:rRNA from 1 species